GAUGUCACAUUAUUUUCAAAGAGAAGUGCCAGUGUAAACAAAUAUUCUAUGUGAAAUACAGAAUUUAUUGAGAAUAUUACAAGAAAAUUGUUUAAAAAAUAAAGAUCAGUUCACUCAGGAGUUUUAAAGAAGUUUGUGAAACCCUGAACAAAGAAUAUAUAAAUCUUGUGAAGCAUGUGGAAACUUGAUUGCUUACCCAAAGAAGAGUUCUCAAUAGGGUAUUUGAGCUGAAAGGUAAGUUGAAGAAAUCAUUUGCUAGGAAACUAUUGCUCAGGUUGUGUUGAGUGCUUUAAAGAUGAGUCAUGGCUACAAAAACUAAAGUAUCUCUCAGACAUUUUUGAUCCCCUGAAAUUACUGAGUAGGAAUCCACUCUGCACUGUGCACUGUAGUUUUUGUUUGUUUGUUUGUUUGUUUUUGCCUUUGAGUGACAAUAGCCCUGGUUUUCUGGUUUUUAAAGAAAAGUUAUUUGGAAAAAUCUUCAGAAAAUCUGUGGAAAAAUCAUUUUGCAACAGGAAAUGUUGAAAUGUUUCCACAACUUCUUGGACUUGGGAUGGAGAAAGAAAAUCAUAAUAUCUUGUCUUACUACAAACGACCUGAAAGGACUUCAGAUCAAAAUUGAAGAGUCAUUUACUCCCUUUUCAAUACAACUGCAUGGCUGGGUCUGGAUUUCUAUGAAAAAGGGUGUCCUAGCAAUGAACAUUUUGCUGUAGUUUUCCACAUUUUAUGUAGAAAGGAUUCUAAAAGGUUUGAUCUAAAGAACCAUUUUGAAAUACGUUACAUCACAAUAUCCCAGAGAAUAAUGCAAUUCCCCAAGAGAACUGAGUAUGGAGCUGGCAAUCUCUGAGGAUCUGUGGAACUUUUACCCUUUUGAAUGGAACGCAUCCUAUGAAACUUGGACUACUUCGAAUCUCCACCCAUGUAUGCAAAGUGCUGAAGAUCUCAGACUGUGGAACCAGACUUUUGAGACCUAAAUCCUGCAUCUACCGAAAAGUUUCACUCUCGUUGCCCAGGCUGGAGUGCAAUGGUGCAAUCUUGGCUCAUCACAACCUGCGCCUACCAGGUUCAAGCGAUUCUCCAUCCUCAGCCUUCUGAGUAGUUGGUCUUUUUUUUUUAAUUAAAACUUGAUGUUUUCAUUUAUUCUGGUAAUAACUAUACCUGCUUUUCCAUAUACUUAGAUUUUACUGCCACAAGAAAAUAUAAAUAUUUCUGAAAUGUAUAAAUUUAUAUUUAAGGCUUUGUAAAGUCAUUCUGUCAAUUCUACCAAUUUUAUAUUAAAUUUAAAACUAAAAUUGAUAAAAUUUACUUUGUAAUAAUGAAUAGUAAAUAUUCGAUUUUUUCUCUUUUUCCACAUACUUGGAGUUUAGGAGACUUUCAGAGUUAAAUUUUAGAGUUAAUUCUAGAGUGAAAUAAUUCUUUCAGAGUUACAGACUACUGUAACUGUAUAGAAUAUGACUAUUAUAUGCCAAGUACCCCUCUAAAAGUAUGAUAUGUUCUAAGUAAUUAAUGCUUCAUAACUACCUAACAUGGAAAAUUACUAUUGUUCUUAUUUUCACAGAUGAAACUGAGACACAAAGAGUUUGCACAAUUUUCACAUUUUACACAGCU
rnacentral:lncRNA from 1 species